GAUGAACGCUGGCGGCGUGCCUAAUACAUGCAAGUCGAGCGAACAGACGAGGCUCUUGCUCCUCUGACGUUAGCGGCGGACGGGUGAGUAACACGUGGAUAACCUACCUAUAAGUCUGGGAUAACCUCGGGAAACCGGAGCUAAUACCGGAUGAUAUAUUGAACCGCAUGGUUCAAUAGUGAAAGACGGUUUUGCUGGCACUUAUAGAUGGAUACGGGCUGCAUUAGCUGGUUGGUAAGGUAACGGGUUACCACGGCAACGAUGCGUAGCCGACGGGCGAGGGUGAUCGGCGACACUGGAACGGAGACACGGUCCAGACUCCUACGGGAGGCAGCAGUAGGGAAUCUUCCGCAAUGGGCGAAAGCCUGACGGAGCAACGCCGCGUGAGUGAUGAAGGUCUUCGGAUCGUAAAACUCUGUUAUUAGGGAAGAACAAAUGUGUAAGUAACUAUGCACGUCGUGACGGUACCUAAUCAGAAAGCCACGGCUAACUACGUG
rnacentral:rRNA from 1 species